CUUGUACUCCCUCCGUCCGAAAAUACUUGUCAUUGAAAUGGAUGUAUCUAGAUGUAUUUUAGUUCUAGACANUUGAAAUGGAUGUAUCUAGAUGUAUUUUAGUUCUAGACACAUCCAUUUUGAUGGCAAGUAAUUCCGGACGGAGGGAGUACUUG
rfam:Triticum aestivum genome assembly, contig: Triticum_aestivum_CS42_TGACv1_scaffold_569018_7AS